GUAGGUUGUAGCAACUUUAUUUCCUGUGGUAAUUUGUUGUUGGCACAAGGGAAAAAUGGAGACUCCAAGGGAAAUCCUUGACUCCAUCCCUGCUGCUGAGGUAUUUGUGGUGGCUGGGUGUGGGGAAGGUGUGGGAUGUCUGGGGAGGCAGGCGGCACAGCUCAGUUCCAUGCAUGGCAUCCAAGGCCUCGUGUCACAGAGCAGCUUCUGCCCAUUUCUCACUGGUAAUGUAUUUGUGUCAACAGGCAGAGUGUUUGAUGGGGGAAAAAGCAACUGAACUGCUGCUCGAAAGUGACUUUCUUUGUGAUGCAGACACGGGGCGUUGUGAGGAAAUGCUUGUAUCGCUGGGAAGCGGAAGGUGAAGGAAAACCCCCCCACCUCGGAAGGAAACAGCUGCCCUUCUUCCUGGCUCAAGGAGCAGCAUCUCCCUUCCUGCUUUUUGCCAACCGUCGGGAU
ensembl:lncRNA